CCCUUCCUACCUCAAUUGGCAGAGCGCAAGGCUGUAAUUGACAAAACAACCACCUUGAGGUUUCCAGUUCGAUUCCGGAGGAAGGGA